GCAUCACCACAGUGGUUCACCAGAAAGAACAGGUCGACGAUGAGGUUCCAGUGUCAGUGAGCAGAGUCUCAACAUGGUUCUUCUGCAGAGGAAGCUGUGACUGGAUGAAGAUGAGCAGCAGCAGCAGCAGCAGCAAGAGAGAGAGGGAGCAGAAGAGGAAGCUGCAGCACUUCCUGGGUGACCUGGCUCUGCUCGGAUCUUUACAGGGUUUUAAAUAUUUCCAGCCGUGGCUCAGAGGGAAGGAGGAGCUGCUGCUGACAGUCGUCAACGAGGACCUGG